rnacentral:rRNA from 1 species
AUUGAACGCUGGCGGCAGGCCUAACACAUGCCAGUCGAGCGGAUGAAGGGAGCUUGCUCCUGGAUUCAGCGGCGGACGGGUGAGUAAUGCCUAGGAAUCUGCCUGGUAGUGGGGGAUAACGUCCGGAAACGGGCGCUAAUACCGCAUACGUCCUGAGGGAGAAAGUGGGGGAUCUUCGGACCUCACGCUAUCAGAUGAGCCUAGGUCGGAUUAGCUAGUUGGUGGGGUAAAGGCCUACCAAGGCGACGAUCCGUAACUGGUCUGAGAGGAUGGUCAGUCACACUGGAACUGAGACACGGUCCAGACUCCUACGGGAGGCAGCAGUGGGGAAUAUUGGACAAUGGGCGAAAGCCUGAUCCAGCCAUGCCGCGUGUGUGAAGAAGGUCUUCGGAUUGUAAAGCACUUUAAGUUGGGAGGAAGGGCAGUAAGUUAAUACCUUGCUGUUUUGACGUUACCAACAGAAUAAGCACCGGCUAACUUCGUG